CUGCGUCGCCUCCCCUUUUGUCUCUACACUGCCUGUCUCCAGAAAUCAACUUCAGCACAAGCCCCACCAGGCUCGUUUUUGCUUGUUUGUAGGACUUAGGUAACAAACAGAACUCCGGACCAAAUCUCCGAGUGGGUGUGAGAGAGAACGAAGCCGGCCAGGCUACUGAUGGCUAAGGGGGACGAUGAACUUCUCACCUUUCUUGAACUCACUAACACACGUCCUUUAAAAAAAAAUCCACGCCUCGUGUGUGUGUGUGUGUGUGUGUGUGUGUCGCUGUUAAUUGCGUUUUGCUGGGAUGCUCUUUUACGACUCGAAAACAAGCGGCUGGGAAAAUAUUCACGUUUGGAGCUGAAAACAUUUUUUAUUUAUAUCUUUGACAUUUAAAAGAGGAGAAUUAAUUUGUCCUGUCUACAUUGCCAUUGAGAGAAAGUUUCAGAAAUCUACCCAGGGGGAAGAGAAUGGGGGGAGGGGGAAGGAAAAAGAAAGAGAAGAAAAGAAAGGAAAAAGAAAAAGCUAGGCUUGGUUUUUCUUAUUUCAGAUCUGUAAUCAAUCAUUGAAAUAGGAGGCAGCAAAAUUGUAAAGAUUCGAUAGAUUAAAAUGCAAAUGAAAGGUAGAAAAAGAAACAUUAACAUGGCGAUCAAAGAUUUAAUAACCGUAAAUCAAGGAUUUUUUUUUCUGUUGCAGCUGCAGUUUGUGUGUGUGUUUAUGUUUUAAUCAUGUUCCUUCCAUAAAUAAAUAAUUUCUGAAACGAGACUAAUUUUUCAUUAUUUUAACCGUGGGCUGUAACACUAAAUAUUAAAAAUAGAAAAUGUACAGGAUGCCAGAUCCCCAUCCAAACAAGAGAAAGACAUGUUGCUUGGUUAAAAUCAAGGGGUUUUAUUUGUGUUUUGAAAAUCAGAGUAUCAUACUUAAAAAAUUCUAUCUCAACUACAAAGCCCAAAGUUUUAUUUUCCCUUUAAUAUUUCAUGUUAACAAGGUACCAUUUAUAUUAAAUAUAUGUGUGGCUGUAUACAAAUCAGUUUGAGCAUUUUCAAAGAAUGAAAGUGCCAGAAUAUUUAAAUAAUACAAAACAUACAUUAUUUUGACGUGAUUUGACAGAAUUCCUAGGAAAAUAAUACCCAUUAGAAGAGUCUCCGUUUAGAGAAAAAUUAAAUGAUGGCUCAACACAGUUAGAAGUUUUCUUAGCUUUAUCAUUAAAGUUCUUUUUCAAAAUGAGAAUGUUUUAGUCCUUUGUCUUGUUACCAUUCGAUGUAAGGUUUUAUGUCAAGGUGUCAAAUAUCAGAAUACACUUUAAUUUAUUAGCUACUCAUUUUCUCAUAUGGUGAAGGCUUUUCAUUUAGAUCUUUUCAUUUAAAAUAUUUAUAUCAUUAAUUUAGAAAUUAUUUCUAGAACUUUUAAAAUAAACAUGUGGACUUAGUCAGUUUCUUUUAUUUUCUUCUUUUCCUUUUUGGUAGUUUUAGUAACAUGGAAGAAUUUAUCUUCAGAAGAUUGGAAACUUCCUUAUGGUAAUAUAGUUUUGAAAUGUUCAAAGUAAGCUUUUUGCUUAAUUUUGUUUUUGAAGGAUUCACCCUACUUUUUUGAAAUGACUCAUUAGAAUUGUCUCUAUUACUCCUCUUCCCACAAAUUAAAAUGAUGACCACACCUGGGAUGCUUGUUUCCUUUCUAAAACCUGUAAGUUAAAUGUGAGCUGGGUUGGUGUCUGCUCCCCCCAUUCCAGCCACACAGUCACGUUUUCGCUCUGACAGCCCAAUAAUGCAUUCAGUUUAAAAUUACACUGGGACCUUUCCUCCUUUGUAUUUUUUCAUUGACUUCAGUGCAACAAGAUGACUUGAUUUUCAUGGGAUUGCAUGGACUCCAUUCAGUGUUACUGGGACAUUUCUGCUCAACUAAAUACUUGCCUUUCAUAGACAAAUGAACUUCUUUUUAUUUGCUGGAGUUUGUAGACAGUUUUAGAUACAGUGUGCAACUGAUUUCGUUAUUGUUGUUGUGAGAAUCGAACAGGCACAGAAGUCAUUUAUCUACACCUAAGAGAUACGACUAGGUAAAAGGGAGAAGCAAGGGCAGAAUCAUGGGGAGUUAUUUCAGUUUAUAGCUCUUAUUAAUUAAACCGGAUGUGAUUUUAUUCUGAUCUUUUAGUACCGACCUUGAUAAAUGCUCCCAGAUACCUUUACCCCCUCACCCCAGUUUUUUCAUCCAAGAGAUAACUUGGAUCUCUUGUCUUAGAAGUUGCUUUCUCUACAUGAUGCCACUGAACAGUUGUAGAGUAAAAUCGUGUGCAUCUUCAGACGAUUGCACCCCUCCCAGAAAAAAGAAAGAAAGAGAAAAGGAAAAACACUUCUCCCAUUCCGGUUUAGCAUCUUGUUUCGUUGAAAUGCAAGACAGGUACUUGAUUUAGCAUUUAAGCAAAAGGUUACACAAACCGCGUUUUAAAAAGUGUUGGGAUGUCCGACAGGGUCAGCCCCAGAUCAGAUCAUUUUUUGAAUGCAGACCUAAAGAUAAUGAGUACUUGUUGUAUUAAAGGGAACAAACAGUACUUUGGCUUCCUCUGACCCCAGAAUGCACGGCUCGGUUUCAUUGAUCAUCCUCCUUUAUGAGAUAAUGCAAUUACAAACAUCAAUAAGGGGCUGCAAGGGGAAUCAUUAUGCGGUGACAGUGAUAAAUGACGGUGCAGAAAUAGCAUGCUUUUUCCCCCCUAACAAUCCAGGAGCCCAGGGGCUCCGGGGGCUGAACACAGUCGCCAAGGAAACAGAUGACAUCCCAAACGGCACCAAAGGAAAAAAAAUGAACAGUCUUUCUUUGCCUCUCACUCUUUUCCGUCUUCCAAAGAGUUAGUUUUGGCUCUAGCAGCAGCUGCCACACAGGCACUUCGUUAUUUCAGACAUUAAAGACUGCAGCGGGCGGUGGGAGUCUCCUCGUCUUCCACCGCCCCCCCCGCCCCGACCCCCUAGAUAACGCACAAAGCUCGCUGUUCACAGUCUGGGACUCCCUGAAAAUCCACGUCUUGAAAAUCAGACUGGGGUGGCGUGGGGGUUGCAGGAAGGUGGACUGACACUGCCAUUGCGUUGUAUUUCUCCCCGCUUUCACGAUUGUCUGGUGGAAACUGAGUCUCCAGAACAGGCUGGCGCCUCGUGGGUCGGCCAGCAAGGGCGCGGGCGCUCGGCCCGCCUCCAUCUCCCCGCGGUGCCAGACGUUGCCUGAUGCCAAGGCAGAGGUGGAGGUGGGGGUGGGGGUGAGGAACAGGCGGCUUAGAGGGGUGUUUGCAGCUUUGCUGGGUUUCUUUUAGAUAAAAUUAUCAAUGAACGUGGGGAUCUCCCUUAGAUCCAAGAAUCCGGCUGUUUAAAGACCCAGGGUUCCCUCAGCAAGUGGCUUCAAAAGGGCCUCGCUGAGCAAUCCCACCCACCCGUGUCCAGGAUGGUGGGUGAAGUAGGCAGGCGCUAAAGGCGAAGGGUUACUGGGACUGCAGUGCGGGAUCUGCGGCUGCAGCGAAGGUGGGAGAGAGAGCCUGAGGCCACUCAGAGAAGGGGAGCUCUCCACUUUUGGGGAAGGGAGGAGGGAGAGAGCGCGGAGGUGAGGGGGCGGUGGGCAAGGGGGCGGCGGGGGCAGAAGAAAAGAAGAAAGGAGGGGAGGAGGAAAGCGAGCGGGCGCAACCUCGCGCUUCCACAAGGUCGCCAACCCGAGGAAAGCAGACACAGGGUUCCUGAACCCUGCGGGCACGCCCAGCUGUGGGGCGAGGGACCCCUGCGCAGCAUUCCACGCAGCUCCAGGCCCCCACCCGGAGGAGCCGGCCGCGCGGGUGCCUGAGCAGGUGAUUUUAUUCACUGCUUCCCUAAUCGGCGAAGUCCCAAGACUCGUUUUCCGCCUGCAGAUUAAAAUCAUUACUCGGGUAAUGAACUUAAUGCUUUAGGGUAGAGCUCCGCCUUCGCGAGAGAACAUUACUGACGCGUUGGCCGGCAGAUUGAGCCAAAAAGGGAGUCCAUCCCACCCCCCCAUCAGCCGCCUCAGUCAAGGGGCGAUCCCCUACUCUCCCUCACCGCUCUUUCCAGGAUUCUGGAAUGACCAGCCUCAAGCGGACUCUACACUUGGCCAUCCUGAGUGUUGCGGGCCGCCUAACAGCCAAUUGGGUGCAGGGUACAUGGGAGAGGGGAAUGAGACCAGGGGAAAUAUCCGGCCGAGCAAGUCACCCCACUACCCAAUUCCACGCCACUCCAUCUGUCGUCCAGGAGCCUACGCAGGAGCUUUGCGCCAAAUCCUCUUGGGCCGAGGGCCUGCUGGGAUCCGAAAGGCAGGGGAAAGUUUGCAGAGAUUUUAAAGUGAUUCCUAGGAGCGCCUGCUUAAGGCAUCGAGGUGCUACCCACGGCUCCCCUACUGUGCCUCCCAGACAGUCGUGGCCCACCUGGCGGACCCUGCCCAGGUCCCAGAGCCUUUGGACCCCAAGCUCUCGGGGUCUCGUCCCCAGAGCCACCGGGAGCCUCCGGAACAGAGUUCAUCAAGAAGCCUCUAGUCCCCUGCAAAGCACCCCUGAGCGGUUCCGAGGGAAAGGGAACCAUAGUACCCCAGGAGGUGCCUCUCCACAAUCUUCUGCGCAGAUCUGUGGUCUCUUGUCUCCAGAAGCAGUCAGCAGAACCUUUAGACUUGACUUUCUUGUUGUGGUGGAGAGGAAGUAGGAGGCUAUUGGAGGUGCUGGACCAGCACCCCCAAGACCAUUUGGCCUCUGAGCGGAGACCUGUGCACCCAGGUAUCCGGGUGAAGGCCGGGACGCCGUGCGCCUUAGGAGAAAAGGGCAGCCGCGUCCUAGCCAGCACUCUUGGCAGCUGUCGCCGAGGCCCGCGGGAUUUUGUGGGGGCGCGGAGCUCGGCCUAGCCUAAGGCCACCGGCUACUGCCCUCCCGCUUCCCAACAGCAGACUUGAAAGGGGGGCGCUGCAUGCAGCAACCGACGCCGGGCGCAAAUUCUGUGCGCCUCGUGGGAGACGCGGAGGGGAGGGGGCGGACGGGGUUGUGUUUUUCCUUUUCCGAACCUCUCGACUUCCCUGCGAAGUUUCCUGGAUAGGCACCUCCACGCCGUGGUCCCAGCCUUGCACCGCCCCCGCGAGCCCAGCCAGCCUGAGCCUCCGACCGGACCUGGCCGCCCACUCGAAUCCUCCCCCUCCCCUGCCCCCGUGGAGACCCGGUGCCUGGAGCUCCGCGGCGCCCUGCCCACCCCCUUUCCGGGCUCCGCGGGGUUGCCUCUCCCCGGGGCGAAACUCGCCGACCGGGCGCACUGCAAGGAGACACCCGCUGCCUCCCGAGAACUCCUAAUACCAUCCAUACAGCUUUAAUGCGUUUAUAAUUCGAUAAGUGAUUUCAAUUUGAAAUUGUUAGUAACUAAUUUUAUGGGUAAUUUUUCCACAUCAAAUAUUUAAGCAUCAGAUUAAGGGAGCCAGUUCCGACACAGGAUAAUAAGGGGGUUUUCCCCCCACCCUCCGCGCCUCCGCCUCCCUCCGUCUCCUACCGAGUCGUUUUUCCAAAUCCCCAAAAGGUGGCAGUCGAAGCCGACGUUCUUCUUUUCCUGCGGCUCUGCAAGGGGAGGAGGAGUGAGGGGGAAGAGCAGGGGCUAGAAGGAGAGAAAGGAGGAAAAGAGGGAGCGAGCGAGAGGAGAGGGAGAAACUAGACGUUGCAGGGACUCCUCAGACUAAUACUUUCACACGUUUCUAAUACAAGCCAGAAGCAGUGGUGAAUUUCCUGGAAAUGUCCUGGCAGAAAAGAAAGUAAAAAAACGUGCCUGUGGGCUCAGAAGAUGUGAGAAACUCGGCACUUUGAAAGUAAACUCUCAAUUCAGAGCAGAAGAGGGAGAGGGGAGACCAGAAGACAGACUGGCUUUUUAAUAUUUCCUUGUAUUUUAACAUUAUAUACAAAUACUAAACAACAAGGCAACUUGUUUCUUCCAGAAUUGGCCUCUGCAGAUUACAGAAUGGGAGGAGAAGGGGAGAUGUGGGGAAAGGCGAUGGGUGGGGGAGGGCUGCCGUGGACCAGGCGGGGGCCGGGGCAGGCAGCGGAUGAAUUGCAGACCAGUUGCCAAAACUUUUUUUUUUCCUGCUGCUGCCGCUGCUGCUGCCGCUGCUGCCGCUUCUGCUGCCGUUGCUUUGAAUGUGGGUAACUAGGAAACAGCAAGCCGUCUGAGAAGACGGAAUUUCCAACGUGUAAAAUGUUCUUAACGGAACCAUUGAGCGAGUGCAAUAAGGCGUGAGGGGGAACUAAUCUUCCCAUUUAAAUGUUUGUGGCAAUUUUAUCUAAAUGAAUUUUAAUGCUAAACGAGGGUAAUUCCCCAUUUGUAGCGCGUUUACUUCUCUUUCCUGUGCUUCUAAAGCAGUAGAACAUCAUGCAAUGAACAAUAACAAUAAAAAUACUGUCAAGGCAUAUUA